rfam:Flexistipes sinusarabici DSM 4947, complete genome.
UAGCCCCUGCGGUGCCCGUGAAAGUGUAGAAAAUUUGGAGCCAACACCUCUAAAAAAGGGGAAUUGAUACUGGCUGCCGUGUGCAAGCCCGCCUUUGAGCGGGAAGCCUAACGCAGCCGUGAUUUUCCCCACCUGGUUAGCCAGGGCUGCAAAUGGACUGCACGCACGGCACAUGCGGGGGCUUU